GACGUAGGGGGCAAGCGUUGUUCGGAAUUAUUGGGCGUAAAGCGCUCGUAGGCGGGAUUGGGAGUCCGUGUUGAAAGACCUCGGCUCAACUGAGGGACCGGCUCGGAUACUCUAAUUCUUGAGGCAAUCAGAGGAUGAUGGAAUUCCCGGUGUAGCGGUGAAAUGCGUAGAUAUCAGGAGGAACACCUGCGGUGUAGACGGCUUUCUGGACCAUUGCUGACGCUGAGACACGAAAGCGUGGGUAGCAAACAGG
rnacentral:rRNA from 1 species